GGACGGGUGAGUAAUGCCUAGGAAAUUGCCUUGAUGUGGGGGAUAACCAUUGGAAACGAUGGCUAAUACCGCAUAAUGCCUACGGGCCAAAGAGGGGGACCUUCGGGCCUCUCGCGUCAAGAUAUGCCUAGGUGGGAUUAGCUAGUUGGUGAGGUAAUGGCUCACCAAGGCGACGAUCCCUAGCUGGUCUGAGAGGAUGAUCAGCCACACUGGAACUGAGACACGGUCCAGACUCCUACGGGAGGCAGCAGUGGGGAAUAUUGCACAAUGGGCGAAAGCCUGAUGCAGCCAUGCCGCGUGUAUGAAGAAGGCCUUCGGGUUGUAAAGUACUUUCAGUUGUGAGGAAGGGUGUGUAGUUAAUAGCUGCACAUCUUGACGUUAGCAACAGAAGAAGCACCGGCUAACUCCGUGCCAGCAGCCGCGGUAAUACGGAGGGUGCGAGCGUUAAUCGGAAUUACUGGGCGUAAAGCGCAUGCAGGUGGUUCAUUAAGUCAGAUGUG
rnacentral:rRNA from 1 species